CUAUUUGUUCUCGCAUUAAUUCCCUUUGUUCUACCAACUGUUGUCCAUGCAGAUCUAGGAUUGCAGUGCUACCAGAUAGGCCUAACUUCACAUAUUAUGGUGUUUUUGGCAAAAUGGCCAGCAUAGCUAAUGUAGCUCUUUCCCCAGUAUUCUGCAUUGCUAAGUGCAAUCUUUAAGCCCUUGUGGCUUGAGAUUUUAUCCAUAUAUUUAUUUAAAGGAAGAGGUGCAGAAGCAGCAGUAGGCAAUUGGACAAGUACCUGACUGUUGUUGGGCCGACCGCACCUGAUUGGGUCCUGUCCGUAAGCACCACCCCUUUUAGAGGGUUAGCUUAGUUGGCAAUCCACAACAAUGAAGCUUCAGAUACUUAUUCUAAACAGGGUUAUAUUGAAGUUUGGAUAUACCAGAGAUCAACCAGCGAGAAGCAUGUAUAUACCAGGAAACCAAAGAAUUAGCCUAGAAGCAAGUAUUUUGUCCAGGACCUGCAAUGGAAAAUAUAAGACACUUAUCUAGCACUGUAUUCUAUGU